rnacentral:rRNA from 1 species
AGAAUCAACGCUGGCGGCGUGCCUAACACAUGCAAGUCGCACGAGAAAGGGACUUCGGUCCUGAGUACAGUGGCGCACGGGGUGAGUAACACGUGAAUAAUCUACCUCCGAGUGGGGAAUAACUGAGAGAAAUCUUAGCUAAUACCGCAUAACACUUACGAGUCAAAGCAGCAAUGCGCUUGGAGAGGAGUUCGCGGCAGAUUAGUUAGUUGGCGGGGUAAUGGCCCACCAAGACGAUGAUCUGUA